UGGAAAGAUGUGCUGGGUUCCAGAAGGAAUGAAGAACAAGAGAAAAAAAUCGGACAUCAGUUUCCCUCCCUGAUCCAGUACUGACCACUGUGAAUUCAGAGAGCUCCCCCAAGAUUGCAUUCUUUGGAGGAUCUCUGAAUGAAUUAUGCCUCACAGCAGCCCAUAAGGUGAUUUUAAAUUGCUUGAUGAAUUUUGCGAGGUUCAUGUUACACAUGCAACAAGAUGUGGCUGCUGUCACUGAAUGGACAUUGAUUGGAAGGUGGUGG